rnacentral:rRNA from 1 species
GUCGUUGGGUCCCUUGAGGACUUAGUGACGCAGCUAACGCAAUAAGUAGACCGCCUGGGGAGUACGGCCGCAAGGUUAAAACUCAAAUGAAUUGACGGGGGCCCGCACAAGCGGUGGAGCAUGUGGUUUAAUUCGAUGCAACGCGAAGAACCUUACCUGGUCUUGACAUAUCUAGAAUCCUGCAGAGAUGCGGGAGUGCCUUCGGGAAUUAGAAUACAGGUGCUGCAUGGCUGUCGUCAGCUCGUGUCGUGAGAUGUUGGGUUAAGUCCCGCAACGAGCGCAACCCUUGUCCUUAGUUACCAGCGGUUUGGCCGGGAACUCUAAGGAUACUGCCAGUGACAAACUGGAGGAAGGCGGGGACGACGUCAAGUCAUCAUGGCCCUUACGACCAGGGCUACACACGUGCUACAAUGGUAGGUACAGAGGGCAGCUACACAGCGAUGUGAUGCGAAUCUCAAAAAGCCUAUCGUAGUCCAGAUUGGAGUCUGCAACUCGACUCCAUGAAGUAGGAAUCGCUAGUAAUCGCGGAUCAGAAUGCCGCGGUGAAUACGUUCCCGGGCCUUGUACACACCGCC